rnacentral:rRNA from 1 species
UAUUGGACAAUGGGGGGAACCCUUAUCCAGCGCCGCCGCGUUAGUGAAGAAGUAUUUCGGUAUGUAAAGCUCUAUCAGCAGGGAAGAAAGAAAUGCCGGUACCUGACUAAGAAGCCCCGGCUAACUACGUGCCAGCACCCGCGGUAACACGUAGGGGGCAAGCGUUAUCCGGAUUUACUGGGUGUAAAGGGAGCGUAGACGGCGAUGCAAGUCUGAAGUGAAAGGCGGGGGCCCAACCCCCGGACUGCUUUGGAAACUGUAUGGCUGGAGUGCGGGAGAGGUAAGUGGAAUUCCUAGUGUAGCGGUGAAAUGCGUAGAUAUUAGGAGGAACACCAGUGGCGAAGGCGGCUUACUGGACUGUAACUGACGUUGAGGCUCGAAAGCGUGGGGAGCAAACAGG